rnacentral:rRNA from 1 species
UACGGAGGAUCCAAGCGUUAUCCGGAUUUAUUGGGUUUAAAGGAAGCGUAGGCGGCCUGUUAAGUCAGGGGUGAAAGACGGUGGCUCAACCAUCGCAGUGCCCUUGAUACUGAUGGGCUUGAAUGUAGUUGAGGUAGGCGGAAUGUGACAAGUAGCGGUGAAAUGCAUAGAUAUGUCACAGAACACCGAUUGCGAAGGCAGCUUACUAAAACUAUGAUUGACGCUGAGGCUCGAAAGCGUGGGGAUCAAACAGG